GCACAAAACAUGUGGCACACCAUUUAUUUUUGGCAUGUGAGUUCCUUCAUAGAAAAGAACUCUUCCUUCUCUUCUGCAUCCACACAUCCCAAGGUGCCAUCUGAUGGCAUGAGAAACAAAGGAAUGCGUGGAAUAGAUAAGAAGGAAAUUAAAAGGAGUAUUUAAGGACUCCUUCUUAAUGCCUCAAAUAAAUAUGGUGUGGCUUUUUUAUUUGUGUGG
rnacentral:lncRNA from 1 species